rfam:Triticum urartu cultivar G1812 contig1046851, whole genome shotgun sequence.
UAUCUACUCCCUCCAUUCGGAAUUACUUGUCUCGGAAAUGGAUGUAUCUAGAACUAAAAUACGUCUAUAUACAUCCAUUUCUGCGACAAGUAAUUCCGAACGGAGGGAGUACUCU